rnacentral:lncRNA from 1 species
GAAACCCUAGUACUGGAAGGCUUGCCGCUGCAGCGGACAACACGGGUUGCAUAUCGAUUGCCCUCGCUGCUUCGUCGUCGGAACCACAUCUCCAGCGUCGGAAAGCGCGAGAUCUGCGCGGGAUUCGGCGAUCUCCAUGGCCAUCUCCAUUGGAUCUCAGAGGAGCUUCUGAGAGCGGGAGAGAAGCGGAAAAAGAGAGCGCAACCAGGGCUCCCAACGCGAUCGAUCGAGGUCGAACACUUCCACACGAGAAGAAGAAGAGGAAGAGAAAGAGGAAGGGGGGAGAUGCUCCAAGGGUUUGGGGAGAUUCGGAAGCGAUUCCUCGCGUUUCCUAAAGAGAGAGAGAGAGCGUCGAGGGAGACGAAGGGAGCGGUGUG